GAUGCCAGGGUUUAUUUCUGCAACUGCAAUAACUAUGAACUGAUAUUAUCUCUCUGUUCUCCUCCACACUGAAAGCUGGUGUUGUGAGCGUUCUGGCGCACUAUGGCUGCUGUCGCAUCAUCCAGGGCAUGUUUCCCAUCUCUCUCUACCUCAUGGCCAGCGAACUGCUGCUACAUCCUCUCUCUUCCUCUCUAACCCCUCCUUGAUCAGCCACACACCUCUUAACCAUGAAAGGACAGCAGACCCUGUUGAGCCUGCAGUCCAGCCCUCCUGUCCCUCCUGCCUCACUCACAGACACACCUAGAGCGAGUAAGAGAGGACGCACUGCAAUACAAUGACUGAAGUUGUGUAUCUUAUGUUAAAGACUGGCGGAAAAAGAGGACUGAAGAUAACAAUUGAUGUAAAGCUCCAGGUAAGCACUUAAAAUAAAUGGAUUUAUCAUUUUUCUUUUAGACCUCUCAAACCUGGAAUUGUCCUUCUUACUGUACAUACUUGGUUUUACCCAAGGUGCCCAAUGCUGCAUCAGUCGAAUCAGGUUGAGGACUAUGUACAGUACAUUCUCCUCCAGUGCUGACUCAGGAUCUCUCUGAGGUUAAAUAUGGCUCUCAGCCCUGUGUGUACUUAACAAGUUGAUUUUUCCUUGACAGCAAUAGUAUGAAAACAGUAGAUUGUCAGUGAUACAAGUUCAUCAUUUCAAAGGUUCUUUUUUUUUUGGUUAAUCUUUCCAAAACAUUUGCACCCUUUGCCACGUCCUUUGUUCAAUCAGAAUAUUGGAGCUUCCAAAGGAACAUUAGAAAGGUUAAAAAACAAAAGGAGUCUGUUCGGCCCAUCUAGCCCAGUGAGGUCGUUAGUGGACGACUGAUCCAAGGAUCCAGCUGUUUCUCGAAGGAGGCCAGUGUUUCAAGGUUUCAGCUUCAACACCAUGGUUAGGUACAGUAGCUUGCUCCAUACCCCCCCACAGCUCUUUGAGUAAAAAUGUGCCUCUUUUUUGAAAUUGAAAUGCACUUCUACUGGGAUCUCUGGUUGGUGCUUCACUGUUGAUUAAUUAAUUCGGCUCACCCCUAUUUAUACAGUUUGAAGGA